rnacentral:rRNA from 1 species
AUUGAACGCUGGCGGCGGGCCUAACACAUGCAAGUCGAACGAGUGGCGGACGGGUGAGUAAUGUCGGGGAAACUGCCUGAUGGAGGGGGCUAACUACUGGAAACGGUAGCUAAUACCGCAUACUAUAGGCUGUGCCCAGAUGGGAUUAGCUAGUAGGUGGGGUAAAGGCUCACCUAGGUGACGUUCCCUAGCUGGUCUGAGAGUAUGACCGGCCAGACGGGAACUGAGACAGGGUCCACACUCCUACGCGAGGAAGCAGUGGGGAAUAUUGCAGAAUGGGCGCAAGCCUGAUGCAGCCAUGCCGCGUGUAUGAAGAAGGACUUAGGGUUGGAAAGUACUGUCAGCGGGGAGGCGUUACCCGCAGAAGAAGCACCGGCUAACUCCGUGCCAGCAGCCGCGGUAAUUC